GCUGACUGUAUAGUGCUGACUGUAUAUCCUCUUCAGAGUGCUGACUGUAUAUCCUCUUCAGAUAGAGUGCUGACUGUAUAUCCUCUUCAGAGUAGAGUGUUGAC